rnacentral:rRNA from 1 species
UUGACCUCGGAUCAGGUAGGGAUACCCGCUGAACUUAAGCAUAUCAAUAAGCGGAGGAAAAGAAACCAACAGGGAUUGCCCUAGUAACGGCGAGUGAAGCGGCAACAGCUCAAAUUUGAAAUCUGGCGCAAGCCCGAGUUGUAAUUUGUAGAGGAUGCUUCUGGGCAGCGGCCGGUCUAAGUUCCUUGGAACAGGACGUCACAGAGGGUGAGAAUCCCGUAUGCGACCGGUUGGCACCCGUCACGUAGCUCCUUCGACGAGUCGAGUUGUUUGGGAAUGCAGCUCUAAAUGGGAGGUAAAUGCCUUCUAAAGCUAAAUACCGGCUGGAGACCGAUAGCG